rnacentral:rRNA from 1 species
AGCAUGUGGUUUAAUUCGAAGCAACGCGUAAGAACCUUACCAGGUCUUGACAUCCUUUUGAAUGGUCUAGAGAUAGAUCAGGCCUUCAGGACAGAAGAGACAGGUGGUGCAUGGUUGUCGUCAGCUCGUGUCGUGAGAUGUUGGGUUAAGUCCCGCAACGAGCGCAACCCUUAUCAUUAGUUGCUAACAUUCAGUUGAGAACUCUAAUGAGACUGCCAGUGAUAAACUGGAGGAAGGUGGGAUGACGUCAAAUCAUCAUGCCCCUUAUGACCUGGGCUACACACGUGCUACAAUGGCCGGUACAAAGAGUUGCGAAACUGUGAAGUUAAGCUAAUCUCAUAAAGCCGGUCUCAGUUCGGAUUGUAGUCUGCAACUCGACUACAUGAAGUCGGAAUCGCUAGUAAUCGCGAAUCAGAAUGUCGCGGUGAAUACGUUCUCGAGUCUU